GUCACUGUGCGUGCACGCUGCACUGACGCCGACCGAUGUUGUGGUUUAAUCGUGUGUACGCAGUGCCGAGAGAAGUUGUGGUGCUUUUUGUCUGUAAAAUGAUCCGAUACCACUGGGACUGCUUAACGUAGCUCGUAUUAUCUUUCGUGUGGUGCGCCGAUGUCAAUUAUUGUAGUUAUGGCCCGUUCGCGCUUUCUUUGCUACCGGCGCAUGAAAAGCCGCUGGUACUCUCGCUACGCUCGCAUUGGAUCCCCGUGCACGAAAGAAUUUGCAGAAAUUUGUGCUAUGCCGUGCUAUAGUUCAUCUGCAAUUCUACAGUGUUUACGCCGGAAGCACCUUACACCGACUGUCUUUGCCGCGGUACUCUUGGGAUGCCACGGCACCUGUGUCACGAAGGAGAGUUUGCCGAGUACGCCUAGAAAGGGAUGGCACAAUAUUGUGAGCCAGAGGCAUCUCUACACCACCUGGGAACCUGCGACACUCCUGCAGCCUGAAAAUCCCGUCAAAGCACCUGAUCUGCAUGCUGCAACAAGCAUAUACAUGCAGCAAGUUGUAGUGCGCGGACCUCGAAUCGAAGAGGAGCCCAGGUUCCAUGCUGGAGAAAAUGGGGCCCAAAGGCGACUCUUCUUCCAAAGAAUGAAGUGGCGAAUAAAGAUUCGUGCUCACUGCUUCAUCGUCCGAUGUGCGGUCACAGGCAGUGUGACACGCGAAGUUAACGAGAAAAAAAGGCACACAAGUGAAGCGCAAACUAUCUGCUGAGUUUGAUGAACAAGAAGGAAUAAUUUAUACCCGUAGCUGCUAUCACCAGCUGCAGGUUACAUGUGGUAAAAGAGCAGAAAAGAUAAUCGGAAUGAAUCAGAACUGACAAGGUGACCAACUUGAAUCAUAUGUAGGCGGUAUGUUAGAAACUGUGCUCGAUGAUGAGUUGUGACACACGGUCACUCACGCAGGCUUGAGCACCAGCCACAACGUUGCAGAAUGCUCCCACAUCUCUCGUAAUUUUAUGCUUGCUUCUGAGCAGGAUUUCCGCGCUGUCAAAAGAUUGUGAGCAACCCCAUAUCGUGCAGUGCGCAUCCAAGUUGUCCGGUGCAUUUACUAGGCUGACAGCAUAUCCGUGAUCCCUGAGCCUCUGAUUCCAGUACCGGCACAUUUGCCGAAUGUAUGCGCAGUUGCAUGUGAGCUGUACCUUGUAAAUGAGUCCCUCUUUUAUCCGACGUGCGCAUAUUCGUCAUGUACGAAGAGGCAGUCGUUUACAAGUACUGCUCACCAGCAACUAUGCUUACUUUGAAUAAAUGGGCUGGCGCUUGAAUGGGAACACGUAUACGUCCUCGGCCUAUUAAAUGCACCAGACAACUUGGCUCCGCACCGCAUGAGAUGCGGUAUCACAUGGUCACAAGUGACGAGAGAGAUAUGGGAAUCAUUGUGUGAGGUUGCUGAUGGUGUUGAAGCCUACAUGAGUGAGCUGUCUGUGCCCCUAGCUGAUCAAGUGAGUCGUCUUUUCGGUUCUGACUCAUUCCGAGUUUCUUUUCUCCGCUUUUUUUUGUGCAUGUAACUUUCAGUCGAUACCUAGCAGCUAUGGGCAUAAAUCCUUCUUAUUCACUAAACUCGGCUGACAGUUCGCGCUUCACUUGUGUGUUCUAGUUUCCCCUAAAUUUGUGUGUCAAACCGCAACAAACGAUGAGGCUAUACUAACUACAGCUUUUUUUAAGCUUUGCAUAGUUUCCUUAUUCACUACUUCAUUCCAUGUAAGAGAUAUUAUUGUUUCGGACUAGGCAGCCGUGAAGAAAUCACAGACAAAUAAAGAGUGCAAAGAACA